AUGGGACUGCCACUCGGGGCAGGGACUUCCCAGGCACAAAAUCCCCCCAGCCUUCUGCCCAGCACGCUGCAGAGAAGGUGCGCCGCAAUCCCAAGUACGGCAGUCAAUACGUGUCCCCGUACUCAUGUGCUGCCAUGCGGACAAGGACGGUCUCCUCAGUGGGUCGCUGGCCGGCCUCUGCGGGUGGCAGCAGGACAGCAGGUGUCUGAGCUGGCUGCAGGUGGUGUGAGUGUACAGCAACGGGCUUCAGGGAUUGGAGGGGUGGGGGCCACGCUGCCCCAGCCUCUCUUUCCCCCUCACAGCCUCUUAUCACAGGGUAACACCAUAUGCCAUAAAUAUCUCUCCUCUGCUGCCUGGGCUCUGUGUGGUUCUGAGCGUACAGGGCAUCCUGGGGGAGGACCUGCAGGGGUCCUGGUGCAGCCUCUAGGAUGGGACAGUGCAGGUGGUUCCUGCCCCAUUGUAGCCCCAGCCAAGUGUGUGCUGCUCUCCCCACAGCACUUUGAGAUGUUUCCCCACAGGGAUGCUUCUGGAUCAGGCUGA
rnacentral:lncRNA from 1 species